GUAGAAAAACCAACGAGAGGUAAUCAAGAAAAAUACACUGAAAAAUUGCAACCAGCAGAGGUAAAGGUCAAUCAAUUUUCUAAAGGUAAUACCAAAACUAACCAAGGAUAUUUAAGAUGAAGGUAGAUACUGAUUAUCUUGAUGAACACAAUCUACGUCAUUAAUAGCAUUAACCAGCAUCAUCUAAAUGGCGAUUCAUCAUGGCUAUUUCCGAUCUUCAUUUCAAGUUCAAUGUUUGAUGUAAAUGCCUUAUUAUACGUGUAGCCAUCUUGACAUUGAAUUGGAUUCACACAAUUGGAUUCAUUGUUUAUUGAAAAUAAUUAAUUAAUAGCAAGCAAAGGUGUAACUAAUUAGAUUGGCCAAACACCAGCAAACUCACCAUGGAUCCAUCAAAAUGGGUUUUCCUCAAAUCAACUGUUCCGUUUGAUUGUCAACUUUAACUUGGCACCAAAAAUCUAUUAACCCUUAAUUACUGCCAAUUGAAUGGGGAAUCAAGAAAAUCUGCUUCCGCCAUUCACAUUUAUAUUAUAAUUUAAAGUCUGUCAUAAUCAUUUUGAUUAUAAAGAGCGUCAAUUAACCUAACCACAAUACAAUUUGUGUAUGUGCGUCCCAUAGCUCUUAUUAUCAAAGAAUUGUCUAUUUAGCUAUUAUUUAUAACUCUUGUAAUUGUAAUACAUAACCAAUUAGAUGCAACAAUUGUCAAUUUGAAUUGCUCAACAAGUGAUUAGUAAAUUUUUGUCACAUGAAAUUGUAAUAUCUUUGUUGUCUGUAGCCUGCUAUUGAAAAGCAUAUUGAAUGUUCAAUGAGACUCAAAAAACAGGUUAAAUCUGAUUGUAACUGUGUUACUUUUUUCUGGUAAACAAUUGUCAUUUUCAGUCUAUUGCUAAAAUUAA